CAGCUGAGUUUCGGUCUCAUAUUGGUGGAGCUGCUGUAUCUGCAGCAAAGGCAGUUGGUUACUACAAUGCUGGAACAGUGGAGUUUAUUGUGGACACUCUUUCUGGAGAGUUCUACUUCAUGGAGAUGAAUACUCGACUCCCUCCUCCCCUCCUAGAUCCCGUGAUCUGCUACGAAGCUGCCAUCAACGCCCUCCUCCCCCUCUCCGCUCAGCUCCUCCUCGCUCUUUCGUAGAGGAGAGGAUUUCACACUGAUGCAAGCGCUCAUCAAGGCAGAUUUCUGGCUUCUGUUUUUCUCGUCUACCAGAUAAUCAAGAAAGAUUUUAGUAUUGCAAGAUUUGCUCAGAUGAUGCGGAGGUUAAAUUUCUUUGUGGCAUUCUGUUGCAUUGGGCAUAUAUAAUAGAGCAUGAUAUCAUUGUCAAGGAUCACUUGGUCUGUUUAACACAUACAAUGAGGUACCAUCAAUCAUGGCUAUUAAGAUUGUUUGCUGCUUCUUGUCUGUAAUUUUGAUAUGGGAAAUCCCUGGGGUAUUUGAAUUAUUGUGGACCCCUUUACAUUUCUGCUAGGCUAUAAAGAUCCAUCACCAUCCAAGGCACACUUACCCCUGCUACAUGAGUGGCAUUUCCGAUCUGGCCUCGAUCGAUACAUAUGGAUUAUUGGAAUGAUUUAUGCUUACUUCCAUCCUAAUGUUGAAAGAUGGAUGGAGAAGCUGGAAGAAUCUGAGACUAAGGUUAGAUUAUCAAUCAAGGGAACCAUUGUCACUCUUUCGUUGAC